UUAUAUGAGAGUUUGAUCCUGGCUCAGGACGAACGCUGGCGGCGUGCCUAAUACAUGCAAGUCGAACGCACGAAGUUGAAGAGCUUGCUCUUUAACCAAGUGAGUGGCGGACGGGUGAGUAAC
rnacentral:rRNA from 1 species